AGACAACUUCAUGUAGUCCGGGAAAUAGGCAGUUGCAUUGAAAUAUGGAAACUCAUUCUCAAUUGCCCAUCUAAAUGUGGAGUAGAAAAACAUGAAAAUGUUAUUGUUGGGAUUUUUUCAUCAAUUGGUUGACUUCUUGUCAUGGCUUCUCAGGCUUUAGAUGGUUCAAUUACAUUUGAAGAUGUAUUAAAUGAGCUCAUGGUGUUAUGAAGGUCAUUGUUUUACAAUCAAUCCAGGUUCCUGUAACCAUUGCAAUCCAAGGAAACAAAAUACCAUUGUAUGCUGUACUGUCAUCACUCUAUAGUCAUGAGUAGAGGGAUAAUAGCGACUUUGAUCAACUGAUCCAAUGUGACUCUCAUUAUCAACAUCAUUUUCUUUGUCCUCAAAAAUUCUUGCUGUUGAAUGACCAUUCACAUGAAGAAAUUAAUACAAGUACACUAUUGUUCGAAAUAUUUUUAAUCACUAAAACAUCUUUAUGUUUCUUUCAA